UGUGGUUAUUAAACCCGGGGUCACUCCCCUAAAGAAAACAGAUUUCCCCGCUCCUGGCCAAGAAGUUCCUCAUGGAACUUUGUACCCACUUCCCCUCCUUCUCACAAGGAUUUAAACUCUCUAUUUCUAGUGGGUUGUUUCAGGGGGCUGAUGAGAUACAUACUACACAAGCACAAGACUCUGAAUUGGGCCCCCAACACCCAUGUAAAAUCGGGGCAAUUUGUAUCUGUAACCCGAGUGUUAGAGGGCAGAUGUAGGCAGGUCCUGGGGACUCACUUUUCAACUAGACUAACACACACAAAUAGAAAAACCGCCAGUGUAAGUCUACAACGUCACUUGUAUUGAAAAAUAAUUUCCCAGCCCUGUGCAUCCCCCACAGAGCCUUCAGCCUUCUCUCCUAUUAUCUUAAAUUAACAAUGUAACAAAUCAAUAAAUGUUAACAAUGUAAAUUCCGCCCCUCCGAAGUGUAUGCUCCGUUGAGUAGAGGCUGCAGAGGGAGAGUCCUGAGACUCAGACCAUUAGGAAAUCGUUAAGCUGUUGAUCUCUUGUGGCCUGCUCCCUCUCUACAGCAAUAAAUCACCUGUCUGCUCAGCACCUCAAGGGUUCCAGGAAUGUGUGAUCACCAGACUCUUCCACCAUUGCUGAUUCUCUACAGGAGUAAAUGCCCUGGACAACCGGGAGGACUUGUUGACAGUCAAGGCCACACAAACGCUAUGCCAAUUGAGGUGCAUCAUCUCUCCUUUAUACUAGUUUCCACCCUUUGAGCGGAGCAUGCUUCCCAGAGAAGAGGUACCAAAGCCCCCAGAGAUUGUGACCUGUGGGUGUAACAGCCAAAUAAAGAUCUCCAAUAAGCCAA